CUUAUUUCUUAUUUUCUCCCUCAUGCUCUUUCUCUCUUUUCCCCUAAUUCUUCCCGUUCUCUCUCCUCACCCUCUCAACUUCACCAGUCCACCACCGCAAAUCAACCCUCUUCCUCAAUCCUCAUUCCACCAUCGAUAGCUAUUACUGCCAGAAAUCAAACCGCGGCGGCUCUCCCUCAUUCCUCCUCCAUCGCCGUGGCUUUUGUGGGUCGGCUUCGGGGAUUUCAUUGGUGAGUGGGUGGUUUUGGGUUUCAUUGCUCAAGUUUUAUUUCCCUGACAUAUCUCGCCAUUUUUUCUACCUCGCUCGACAACCAACCUAGCUUCGCCAAUCGAAGGUCAGUCAACCUUUUGCUUGUUGAACAUAUUAGAGUUGUUGCUUGCUCUUCCUCUUGGCGUCAGAGUGAGGACAUGGACGUGAAUUUGAAAGACUUGCUUGGAGUGGAACAAUCACUUUAGUAAGGGCAUCAUUGGGAUGAUGAGGGAACUCAAUUUGAAAGUGAAAGAAAUCGUUGCAAUCGACAAUUAGCGAGUGACAUGCACACCAUGGGGCCAACAUCAUAUGCAUACACUCGUGAACAACUGAAACAACAAGAUCCAAAAAAAGAUCCGUCAAAAGCAAAGGUGUACAUCGAAUCAAGGAAAAGGAAGCCCGGGAAGUCAUACAAAAUAAGCUUUGAUGAAAUAGAAGCAAAUAUUGAAAAUGGUGAAGCAGCUGAUGACAAGGAGGUGGAAAAUGAUGAUGAAAUUGAGCCGUAAAAGAACAUAUUUAGAAUUUUGUGUGGCUUUUGGAAACAUUUUGUGAACUUGUUUGUUCGAUACUUUUUAUUUAGACGUAAUGAUGUAUAGGUGAAUAUUUGGUUGCACUAGGUUAUGGAAGAAUUGAUCCUUAGUUUUUGAUAUAACAAGUUAAUCGUGUAAAUUUCUUAACUAUAAUAUUUGUAAUCAAAUUUCUAAUUACAUCUUAUGCUAUCAAUUAUUAAAAUUAUCAUUUG